GACGAACGCUGGCGGCGUGCUUAACACAUGCAAGUCGAACGGAAAGGCUCCAGCUUGCUGGAGUACUCGAGUGGCGAACGGGUGAGUAACACGUGGGUGAUCUGCCCUGCACUUCGGGAUAAGCCUGGGAAACUGGGUCUAAUACCGGAUAGGACCGCACUUUGGUGUGUGUGGUGGAAAGGUUUUUCUGGGGUGGGAUGAGCUCGCGGCCUAUCAGUUUGUUGGUGGGGUAAUGGCCUACCAAGACGGCGACGGGUAGCCGGCCUGAGAGGGUGGACGGUCACAUUGGGACUGGGAUACGGCCCAGACUCCUACGGGGGGCAGCAGUGGGGAAUAUUGCACAAUGGGGGAGACCCUGAUGCAGCGACGCCGCGUGGGGGAUGAAGGCCUUCGGGUUGUAAAAUCCUUUCGCUAGGGACGAAGCUUUUUGUGACGGUACCUGGAGAAGAAGCACCGGCUAACUACGUG
rnacentral:rRNA from 1 species